rnacentral:rRNA from 1 species
ACUGCUCAGUAACACGUGAGUGACCUGUCCUUGGGUGGGGGACAACAGUCCGAAAGGAUUGCUAAUACCGCAUAAGUCCUCUGGAGUAGAUUCUAGAGGGGAAAGGUAUUUCGCCCGUGGAGGGGCUCGCGGCCCAUCAGGUAGUUGGUGAGGUAAUGGCCCACCAAGCCGAUGACGGGUAGCUGGUCUGAGAGGAUGGCCAGCCAGACUGGGACUGAGACACGGCCCAGACUCCUACGGGAGGCAGCAGUUAGGAAUCUUGCGCAAUGGGGGCAACCCUGACGCAGCGACGCCGCGUGGGCGAAGAAGGCCUUCGGGUCGUAAAGCCCUUUUCCGAGGGACGAUAAUGACGGUACCUCGGGAAUAAGCCCCGGCUUACUACGUGCCAGCAGCCGCGGUAAUACGUAGGGGGCGAGCGUUGUCCGGAUUUACUGGGCGUAAAGAGCGCGCAGGCGGCUUCGUAAGUUGGCUGUGAAAUCUCCCGGCUCAACCGGGAGGGGUCAGUCGAAACUGCGAGGCUUGAAGGCGGUAGGGGGAGAUGGAAUUCCCGGUGUAGUGGUGAAAUGCGUAGAUAUCGGGAGGAACACCGAUGGCGAAAGCGAUCUCCUGGGCCGUUCUUGACGCUGAGGCGCGAAAGCGUGGGGAGCGAACUGAAUUAGAUACUCAGGUAGUCCACGCCCUAAACGAUGGACACUAGGUGUGGGGGGCAUCGACCCCUCCCGUGCCGCAGCUAACGCAAUAAGUGUCCCGCCUGGGGAGUACGGCCGCAAGGCUAAAACUCAAAGGAAUUGGCGGGGGAGCAC